UAUGAGUCAGACAUCCUGGAUUAAUAAGUAAAUAAUCAGACUCUUUGGAAAACAGGAAUUACAUGCACACCCCUAAAAAAAGGAAUUACAUGCACAAUUCCCUCAAAAAAAAAGAGUUACAUGCAGAAAAAUAAACACUGGAAUUAAUGCAUGGUUUCCACGAGAACUGAUGUCAUAGUAGUUUUCUUUUCAAUGAGAUUUUUUUUGUGUUAGUCAAACUGUUGUGAUUAGUUAGCGCAUAUUAAUUAGAGGGAAAUCUCCCCUUGUCCUGCGGCAUGCAGGCGUCUUGUAGCAACCGACACAUCUCUUUUCCCCUCUCCUCUAACCGUUGCAUCGGUUCCAACCAUCGCGUCUUGUGCGAUGGGUCUCUUCCAAACAUAUAUAAGUUGUACUAUUUCUAUCAAUCAAAACAAGUUGAUCUUUUCAUUCAAACACGUUAUCACGCACGCUCUGCCGAGAGCACAGGAAGGCCUCGCCGACGGUGAGAUGCCUGGACUCAUCUCUUUCUUCCUCCGCCUCAUCCGUGAGGACGGCCGCCGUCGCCGUUUCACAGCCCGUGGCCAUUAUGGAGUAGGCGGGCGCCGUCGCCGCCGAUUCGGACGCCGUGGCGCUGGACAAGGCCACCAUGCCGCUAUACGCGGCCCUCGACGUGGCCUCCGCGCCCCUAGACACGGCCAUCGCGCCGCUGCUCCCGGUGACCACGCCCCAACGGUGGCCAGCCCCAGCGCGCCUCCCGCACAUGCAGGAGAAGAGAUCCCCGGGCCCAUGCUCGCGGCUCCAACGCGGAUUCCGCCUCCGCCUCCAGCGCCGACUGACGAGCCCGGCUUCUUCGUCUUUGUGCCGUUCCCGAACGGCGCCGGAGGGACGAUCCAAGCCGCUGGCCCGACGCCGGUCGCGCAGCCUGAAGACGUGGGCGCCGGCCCGAGUCGCAGCGCCACCGAGCACCCGCACGCCUCCACCUCCGUGCUGGACGAGGCACCGUCAUCCCCGCGCGCGGUCGCCCGACCGCGCCUCCAGGACUCCGCAAGCAUGGAGGGACGCCGCCGCCUCUUCAGUCGCGCCAUCACCGCCAUCGACCGCCGUGAAAGCAGCCACUCCGGCCUUGCCUCCGAUCUGCUGAAUGGCGUCCCUGCCGGCGUCGUCUACAUCUCCUCGUCCGAGGAAGAAGGAGGCACGUCGGCAACCACUUUGUGAGAAGCAGCAAUGGAGUGUGUGGGGGUGGCGGCGCACAGGAGUUGGUCGGGAGGAUUGGGAUCCCUCGAUCCCUAAUCACCAGCCGUAUAAAGGCCAGCCGACCGCCCCCACUCCACGUGGGCUUUGGGCCUGUGCCCAGAUAGUCCCUGGCUACGGGCUGAAUUGCAGAAAUUUCUCUUUCUUUCUUCUGUUUAAUCCUUUUAACAGUAGUUGUAGCAGUAAUUUAUCACUGUUUUAGUACUGUUUAGCCUAUGUACAUGUAGUUAUUUACAUUCUAGUCUGGUAUUUAGAUUUACUCUAUUUUAGGACUUGUGUAAAUAUUUGUAGGCUGUUUACAUUAUGUAAUGUAUUUGAUAAUGUAAAUAAAGGACCAACAUUAUCUAGAAAUGUCAUGUUCAAUGUGUUUACCACAUUCCAAUUUUCUAGAACAUGUUCCAACGAUUGAGAUUAAUUUCUCUCGUACAACAAACUUGCAAAUUUUUGAUACACGCCUUCCUCAUUAUAUUUGGAAUCACGGUCUAUAUUUUGUCCAAUUCGACAAAUGAUUACCUUGAAUGUGCAUUUCCUUAUAUUUGAAUUGAUAACAUACACACAGUAAUAGAAACAAAUGCAUCUACUGACAUUGUCAGAUUAUGUAGCAUAUUACUCUGAGAUCCAUGCGAUCUUGGACGUGUUAUGUUCAAUCAAUUGAGGUCUACAUUAUUCAAGUUCUUCACUUGAGUAUCAAAUUUUGCACCAUUAUUACAAUACAACCAUGAUGGUUUUUAAUUUACCCUAGUAAAUUAAUUAUCUCUGGUUCAUCCAUGUAGGUAAACGAUGACCGCAAAAAAAUUUGAGGAGCUUGCCCUCAAUGGCCACAACUACCCUACAUGGGCCAUGGACGUCAAGAUCAGUCUUGCUUCCCGUGGGAUAGCGCGUGCAAUCCAGGACCCGGAGACUCCUCUACCGGCCGGAACCACGCCGCUGACAGAACAACAAAACUAUGCAGCUUUAUACAUCAUAAGGCAUCAUAUUCACCCAGAUCUUAAGUCUGAAUACUUAGAGGAGGAAUCUCCCAGUACUCUGUUUCUAGCCCUCAAAACAAGAUAUGAACAGCAGAAGGCAGUUGUCCUGCCAGAAGCACUCCAUGAUUGGACUCACCUUCGUCUUCAGGAUUUCAAGUCCAUCGGUGAGUACAACCACAAGGUUCAUAAGAUAAGUUCCAAACUGCGCUUUUGCGGGAAGGAACCUACUGACGCGGAGAAGAUAGAGAAAACUUUAUCUACUAUGCUCCCUUCAGACAGGAUCCUCCAGCAGCAAUACGGUGCUCGCAACUAUAUUGUCUAUUCCGAGCUUAUUCAUAUGUUACUUCAGGCUGAAAAGCAUGAUGAGCUACUCGCUAAGAAUGGCUCUCAACGCCCAGUUGGGGCACAACCUUUACCUGAAGUUCAUAUGAAUGUCGCGAAUAGACAGAAGUUUGAUGGUGCCUUUAGAGGCAAUCAAUCAAAUGUCCAGAACAAGCGAAAGCGCAUUAGGAACAGGAGGUCUAGGAACUCAGACAAGGGAAAAGGCACUGCAAAGCCCAAGCAUGAUAAAUCUCUGCUUUGCAACAAGUGUGGAUGCUACACGCACCCCACCGACAAGUGCAAGAUCUCAAAGCAUCUGGUUAUGUUGUACCAGCAAUCUCAGAGACGCAAAGCACCUCAAGGGAAGAGGUUCGAAGCCAAUUUCAACCUUCAUUCAGACAGCACCAAUGGAGCCGGUAGUUCGCACGACGUUCCUCCUGGACCGAGCAACACCAUUGUGUUCCAUCAACCAGAGGACCUUGCCGACACGGAAAACAUGAUGAUUGAGUACACCUCAAACGAAGUGUUUGGAGACUUUGACUAGUCCCACAAUCUUCAUAGUGAUCUAUUUAGCUAUGUCCAUUUGUGAUGUUGUAAUAAGAAUAUAAGUAUUGUUGUUGUCCUUAUAUUGUAUCAGCACAUUUGAUAUAAUAAGAUUGUAAUUGUACUAACAUAUUUGAUAUAAAUAAGAUUGUAUUCUAUGUAUUUACAUGAGAUUUUCUUAUUGAAAGUUCUUUGUUUUAUAUAUAGUUCUCUACGGUGACAAUCCGAUGGAAGAGGAAUUAUGCCUUGUGGAUAGUGCAACCACAAACUCCAUACUGAGGGAGACGAAAUAUUUUCAAACUCUGAAAAAGAUGAAUGGAGAUAUUCUAACUAUCGCUGGACGCGAUACGGUAAUCGUUGGCACUGGACGUGCCAUAUUUACCCUCCCAGGUGGUACACAAGUGACAAUUGAGGAUGCUUUGUUGUAUCCCGACUCAUCACGUACCCUGAUCAGUUAUCGAGAUAUCCGUAAAAAUGGCUUUCACAUUGAAACUCAUGAAGACAACAAAGAGGAGUAUCUACUCUUCACCAAAGAUCACGGAUAUGGCAAGCAAGUACAUGAAAAAAUUCCUUCUCUAUCAUCAGGUUUGUACUAUACGUACAUCAAACCCGUAGAACAUGUUGCAUACAAAGUAAAUUUUCAAAAUGUUGAUGCAUUUCAAACCUGGCAUGAUCGCCUAGGCCAUCCCGGGAUCGGGAUGAACGUUGAUGCACAUCAGCUCGGAGAAGGGGGGAAGGGGAAGGUAGCAGCCUGGAAGAAGAAGCGGUGACAUAAAGCAUAUUUUUCUUAGUUUAAUUAUACGUCAUCUCAUCCAAAUUACCUAAUUAGCAUGAUGCAUGCUACUCCCUCCAUUCCCAAAUAUUUGUCUUUCUAGGGAUUUUAAAUGGACAUAACAUACGAAUGUAUGUAGACAUAUUUUAGAGUGUAGAUUCACUCAUUUUGCUCCGUAUGUAGUCACUUGUUGAAAUCUCUAGAAAGACAAAUAUUUGGAAACGGAGGGAGUACUUGAUAUGAUACCCAAAUAGAUGAUGCAUGCUACUUGAUAUGAUACCCCAGUAAGAGGGGUAUUAGAUGUAUAUGAGUCAGACAUCCUGGAUUAAUAAGUAAAUAAUCAGACUCUUUGGAAAACAGGAAUUACAUGCACACCCCUAAAAAAAGGAAUUACAUGCACAAUUCCCUCAAAAAAAAGGAGUUACAUGCAGAAAAAUAAACACUGGAAUUAAUGCAUGGUUUCCAUGAGAACUGAUGUCAUAGUAGUUUCCUUUUCAAUGAGAUUUUUUUUGUGUUAGUCAAACAACCAGAAGAAGGUUGGAAGCGAUCAAUUGUGUUAGUCAUCAAACAGGCCUCCAUAGUAUCUCACAGAAAGCAUUUCCAAUGACUUACCGACGAAUGCCAAAUCAUGCGCGUUGUUCCACUUCCCCCUGUACUCUUUAGGUUACAUACAAUGCCUCGGUCGGGUAGUACAUCUCUCAACUAACUAA
rnacentral:lncRNA from 1 species